rfam:Loxodonta africana unplaced genomic scaffold scaffold_5, whole genome shotgun sequence.
GAGGCCAAGCAGAGAUGAGUGGUCACUGCUCUCUUGCCCGGACACGAGGUGGGCAAUAUAACACCCUUACACGGAUUUGAUUAUAAAGUCUUGUCUUGCGGAGUGCAAAGAAGCGCAGCAUUGGGAACGAGGAGCGGCAGGUAAGCCAGAG